CAUUACCGAGUGAGGGCCCNCNNNGUCCAACCUCCCNCCCGUNNNNAUUUUACCUUGUUGCUUCGGCGGGCCCGCCUUAACUGGCCGCCGGGGGGCUCACGCCCCCGGGCCCGCGCCCGCCGAAGACACCCUCGAACUCUGUCUGAAGAUUGUAGUCUGAGUGAAAAUAUAAAUUAUUUAAAACUUUCAACAACGGAUCUCUUGGUUCCGGCAUCGAUGAAGAACGCAGCGAAAUGCGAUACGUAAUGUGAAUUGCAAAUUCAGUGAAUCAUCGAGUCUUUGAACGCACAUUGCGCCCCCUGGUAUUCCGGGGGGCAUGCCUGUCCGAGCGUCAUUGCUGCCCUCAAGCACGGCUUGUGUGUUGGGCCCCGUCCUCCGAUCCCGGGGGACGGGCCCGAAAGGCAGCGGCGGCACCGCGUCCGGUCCUCGAGCGUAUGGGGCUUUGUCACCCGCUCUGUAGGCCCGGCCGGCGCUUGCCGAUCAACCCAAAUUUUUAUCCAGGUGNNCCGCGGAUCAGGUAGGGAUACCCGCUGAACUUAAGCAUAUCA
rnacentral:rRNA from 2 species